UGUUUUCGAUGUAUAGUUAGCAUUGGUCGUCUCUAUGCUUUUUUAUGAUCAUAUACCGAUCGAUGCUCGCUUUAUUUCGAAUCAC
rnacentral:pre_miRNA from 1 species